rnacentral:tRNA from 3 species
AGGGGCAUGGUGUCAGCGGAUAGCACGGCGGUCUCCAAAACCGCAAGGGCAGGUUCGAAUCCUGCUGCCCCUGCCA